GCGAAGGCACUCAGCGAGAACGGACCUGACGGUGGGGAUGAAGGCUGGGGGAGCGAACCGGAUUAGAUACCCGGGUAGUCCCAGCUGUAAAGUAUGCAGACCAGGUGCUGGAUGUCCCUCGAGGGCACUCGGUGCGUAGGGAAGCCGUUAAGUCUGCCGCCUGGGGAGUACGGCCGCAAGGCUGAAACUUAAAGAAAUUGGCGGGGGAGCACCACAAGGGGUGGAGCCUGCGGUUUAAUUGGAUUCAACGCCGGACAACUCACCGGGGGCGACGGCAGAAUGAAGGUCAGGCUGACGACUUUACUGGACUAGCCGAGAGGUAGUGCAUGGCCGCCGUCAGCUCGUACCGUGAAGCGUCCUGUCAAGUCAGGCAACGAGCGAGACCCUCCCCACUAGUUGCCAACGGAUCCCACUGGGAUGCCGAGCACUCUAGGGGGACCGCUGUCGCUAAGGCAGAGGAAGGAGAGGGCAACGGUAGGUCCGUAUGCUCCGAAUCCCCCGGGCUACACGCGGGCUACAAUGCGUGGGGCAGAGGGAUGCAACCCCGAAAGGGGAAGCCAAACCCUAAACCUACGCUCAGUUCGGAUCGAGGGCUGAAACUCGCCCUCGUGAAGUUGGAAUCCCUAGUAAUUGCGUGCCAACAUCGCGCGGUG
rnacentral:rRNA from 1 species